AUUUCCUGUUCCCAUUGGCAGCAGCGUCUCUUUAACAUCAUGAGAGAUGAAGUUUAAGAAGUAAUCCUAGUAAUCAUGUGAUCUGGAAUACAUCACCCCAACACAUAUCUAUGUGUGACGUGUCUCUAUUGGAAUCACUGAUUGCAAAAUUCAUCUCCAGUCACAGGAUUUAUACAGCCAUGCCCUUCUGCACAUGACUGUAUGGCUCCAAUACUACUCGGCCACCCCACAGGGCCCCAACCGGGUCAACAGAGCCUCCAUCAGCAGACCCUGGGCAUGAGAA